rnacentral:rRNA from 1 species
AUUGAACGCUGGCGGCAUGCCUAACACAUGCAAGUCGAACGACAGCACAGUAAAGACUUCGGUCUUUAUGGGUGGCGAGUGGCGGACGGGUGAGUAACGCGUAGGAAUCUGUCCUGGAGAGUGGGAUAACCCGAGGAAACUCGGGCUAAUACCGCAUGAUAUCGAGAGAUCAAAGGCAGGGGACCCUUCGGGGCCUUGCGCUCUAGGUUGAGCCUACGUCGGAUUAGCUAGUUGGUGGAGUAAAGGCCGACCAAGGCGACGAUCCGUAGCUGGUCUGAGAGGAUGACCAGCCACACUGGGACUGAGACACGGCCCAGACUCCUACGGGAGGCAGCAGUGGGGAAUCUUGGACAAUGGGGGAAACCCUGAUCCAGCGAUGCCGCGUGUGUGAAGAAGGCCUUCGGGUUGUAAAGCACUUUAGGUGGGGAAGAAAGGUAAUGAGUGAAUAACUGAUUGCUUUGACGGUACCCGCAGAAUAAGCACCGGCUAACUCUGUGCCAGCCGCCGCGGUAA